CCUACGGGGGGCAGCAGUGGGGAAUAUUGCACAAUGGGGGAAACCCUGAUGCAGCGACGCCGCGUGAGUGAAGAAGUAUUUCGGUACGUAAAGCUCUAUCAGCAGGGAAGAAAAUGACGGUACCUGACUAAGAAUCCCCGGCUAACUACGUGCCAGCAGCCGCGGUAAUACGUAGGGGGCAAGCGUUAUCCGGAUUUACUGGGUGUAAAGGGAGCGUAGACGGCAGCGCAAGUCUGGAGUGAAAUCCCAUGGCUUAACCAUGGAACUGCUUUGGAAACUGUGCAGCUAGAGUGCAGGAGAGGUAAGCGGAAUUCCUAGUGUAGCGGUGAAAUGCGUAGAUAUUAGGAGGAACACCAGUGGCGAAGGCGGCUUACUGGACUGUAACUGACGUUGAGGCUCGAAAGCGUGGGGAGCAAACAGGAUUAGAUACCCGAGUAGUC
rnacentral:rRNA from 1 species